GACGAACGCUGGCGGCGUGCCUAACACAUGCAAGUCGAACGGAAAGGCCCUGCUUUUGUGGGGUGCUCGAGUGGCGAACGGGUGAGUAACACGUGAGUAACCUGCCCUUGACUUUGGGAUAUCUUCAGGCAACUGGUGCUAAUACCGGAUAGGAGCUCCUGCUGCAUGGUGGGGGUUGGACAGUUUCGGCGGUUGGGGAUGGACUCGCGGAUCAUCAGCUUGUUGGUGGGGUAGUGGCUUAGCAAGGCAUUGACGGGUAGCCGGCCUGAGAGGGGCACCUGCCCCAUUACGCCUGAGCUACGGCCCAGACUCGUACGGUAGGCAACGGUGGAGAGGAUUGUACAGCGGGCGGGAGCCUGAUGCGACGACGCCGCGUGGGGGAAGACGGCCAUGGGGUUGGAAAGCGCAUUUGCUUGAGACGAGGCGUUAGUGACGGUAACGGGUGAAGAAGCACCGGCUAACUACGUG
rnacentral:rRNA from 1 species